AGAGUUUGAUCCUGGCUCAGGACGAACGCUGGCGGCAUGCCUAACACAUGCAAGUCGAACGGAGUUAUUAUUCAGAAGUUCUUCGGGAUGGAAGGAUAAGAACUUAGUGGCGGACGGGUGAGUAACGCGUGGGUAACCUGCCCUUUUGUGGGGAACAACUUCGAGAAAUCGGAGCUAAUACCGCAUAAUAAUAGAGGAUCGCAUGAUUCUUUAAGGAAAGAUGGCCUCUGAAGAUGCUAUCGCAAAAGGAUGGACCCGCGUCUGAUUAGCUAGUUGGAAGGGUAACGGCCUACCAAGGCAACGAUCAGUAGCCGGCCUGAGAGGGUGAACGGCCACAUUGGGACUGAGACACGGCCCAAACUCCUACGGGAGGCAGCAGUGGGGAAUAUUGCACAAUGGGGGAAACCCUGAUGCAGCGACGCCGCGUGAGUGAAGAAGUAUUUCGGUAUGUAAAGCUCUAUCAGCAGGGAAGAAAAUGACGGUACCUGACUAAGAAGCCCCGGCUAACUACGUGCCAGCAGCCGCGGUAAUACGUAGGGGGCAAGCGUUAUCCGGAUUUACUGGGUGUAAAGGGAGCGUAGACGGUUUUGCAAGUCUGAUGUGAAAGCCCGGGGCUCAACCCCGGGACUGCAUUGGAAACUGUAUGACUGGAGUGCAGGAGAGGUAAGUGGAAUUCCUAGUGUAGCGGUGAAAUGCGUAGAUAUUAGGAGGAACACCAGUGGCGAAGGCGGCUUACUGGACUGUAACUGACGUUGAGGCUCGAAAGCGUGGGGAGCAAACAGGAUUAGAUACCCUGGUAGUCCACGCCGUAAACG
rnacentral:rRNA from 1 species